CGACCUCGGAUUAGGCGUGAUUACCCGCUGAACUUAAGCAUAUCACUAAGCGGAGGAAGAGAAACUAACAAGGAUUCCCUUAGUAACGGCGAGUGAACAGGGAAGAGCCCAGCACCGAAGCCUGUGAUCGUUUGAUCACCAGGCAAUGUGGUGUUCAGGUCGUUCCGCGGAGGCACUGCUCCACCCUAAGUCCAACAAUGAGAACGGUUUCUCGGACAUGGCCCAUGGAGGGUGAAAGGCCCGUGGGGGUGGAGAUCAGGUUGGCCAGUGCUACUCUGGGGAGACCUUUGAGUCGGGUUGUUUGUGAAUGCAGCCCAAAGUGGGUGGUAGACUCCAUCCAAGGCUAAAUACAACGCGAGUCCGAUAGCGAACAAGUACCGUGAGGGAAAGUUGAAAAGUACUCUGAAGAGAGAGUAAACAGUGCGUGAAGCUGUUCAGAGGUAAACGGAUAGAGUUGAACUGUGAGUUCCGACGGUUCAGCUGGUGACUUUGGUUGAGCUUGGUCAAGUUGGUUGGGCUCUGAGGUCUGUGUAGCAACAGGUUCUUGCCUUCGGGUGAGGAUGCGCGAUGCACUCGUUGAGUGUUGUGCGCCUCAGAUGUCCCGAGCCGAGUCGCCAGUGCAUUCCGUCGGGACGGUCACCACGACCGGCGUAUCGUCUGUCUUUUGUGGUUAAACCGGGCGUGCUUUGUCCUUGUGGCUUUGUGCGUGCGGGAUGGCAGGUAGCUCAUUGGUUUGCUCGCAAGCCUUUGGGUGAAAUAGCUGACUGCAAUUUGACUGUGCGUUGUGCCGGGGACGGCGGCUUGAGGUGUGUGCGUGUGUGCUUGUUCACCGGCGUAUCCGUGUCAGGUUGCUCAGUUGCUCACCUAGUGGGCCAAGCGGCGACUGGGAUACGUUCGGUGAGCGGUCGCGCUCGAGACACCGUUGAAGGGCCAACAGUCUGUGGUGUUGCGGUAGACGAUCUAUCUGACCCGUCUUGAAACACGGACCAAGGAGAAUAACAUGUGCGCGAGUCAUUGGGCGUAACGAAACCCAUAGGCGCAGUGAAAGUGAAGGUUUGACUUGUUCAGACUAAGGUGUGAUCCUGUCGUUUGUCCCGCAUGGUACCACCAAGCAUCGAGCGGCAGGCGCAACACCGGCCCGUCCCAUGACUUCGGCGUUUGAUUUUUUUGAAUGCAUAGUCGGGGCGGAGCAAUAGCGCACAUGUUGUGACCCGAAAGAUGGUGAACUAUGCUUGUGCAGGUUGAAGCCAGAGGAAACUCUGGUGGAGGAUCGCAGCGAUUCUGACGUGCAAAUCGAUCGUCAGACAUGAGUAUAGGGGCGAAAGACUAAUCGAACCAUCUGGUAGCUGGUUCCCUCCGAAGUUUCCCUCAGGAUAGC
rnacentral:rRNA from 1 species